GGAUGGUAAAGAGGAAAAGAAUUGGGGGAAAAUAACGUUUGGGAUGCUGUAUGGGAAUGGACUCUUGAUAUUCCUCAUCAACGUUUAAAAGACUUCCUAAUUAGCUAGAAUGGACUCUUGAUAUUUCUCAUCAACGGUAAAAAGACUUCAGGCAGUGGACGUUUCAACGGAGAAAGGAGAGGAGGGAUCGGGAGAAUGGUAGAAUAACGUUUGGGAUGGUAGAGAGGAAAAGAAUUGGGGGAUGCUGUAUUACAUUUUCUAUUUCUUUUAUUACAUU
rnacentral:lncRNA from 1 species